AGUUUUAAAAAAGUACACUAACUAAGGUAAGGGUUCAUGAUUACUACAUUGUUGAAUACGCUCAAGCAGUCUGGAAGACUGUCGAGUGUUGCUUUGGAGGAGAUUUCUACCCUGGCUUAUCUUGAAAUGUCAGACUCUCUGGAACUACUAGACUCAGCAUAAACAACAGAAGUUGGUUUUACUCUGUGGGACUCCACUUUACAAUGGGCUUUCCUUUCCCUGCCCAAACUCCAGAGAUCGAGUUUCACUCUUGUUUCCCAGGCCGGAGUGCAGUGGCGCAAUCUUGGCUGACUGCAACCUCCGCCUCCCAGGUUCAAGUGAUUCUCCUGCCUCAGCCUCCAGAGUAGCUGGGACUACAGAAAAAUACAUAGCGGCUUGGAUUGCUGGCAAGAUGGUCAACUAGGAAAAGCUCUGGUCUGCAGCUUCCAGCGAGAUUGACACAGAAGAGUCUUGCUCUGUCGCCCAGGCUGCAGUGCAGUGGUGUGAUCUCGGCUCACUUCAGCCUCCACCUCCCAGAUUCAAGCAAUUCUCCUGCCUCGGCCUCCUGAGUAUCUGGGAU
rnacentral:lncRNA from 1 species